rnacentral:rRNA from 1 species
UUUAAGGUCUAAUCUGCCCUAUGAGGAGUUAAAUGGCCGCGGUACUCUGACCGUGCAAAGGUAGCAUAAUAAUUAGUUUUUUAAUUGAAAGCUGGAAUGAAUGAUUGGACGAGAAAAUAACUGUCUCAAUUUAAUUUAAUUAGAAUUUUAUUUUUAAGUAAGAAAGCUUAAAUAUUUUUAAAAGACGAGAAGACCCUAUAGAGUUUUAUAUUUAUAUAAUUAUGAAUUUCUUAGAAUUGUCUUGUUUGUAUUUAUAUGAUUAUUUUAUUGGGGCGAUAGAAAAAUAGGAUAAACUUUUUUUUAUUUAUUACAUUUAUAUAUGAAAUUAUGAUCCAUUAUUUUUGAUUAUAAGAUUAAAUUACCUUAGGGAUAACAGCGUAAUUUUUUUUUAGAGUUCUUAUCGAAAAAAGAGAUUGCGACCUCGAUGUUGGAUUAAAAUAAACAUUUGGUGUAGGGGCUAAAUAGUUAGGUCUGUUCGACCUUUAAAAUUUUACA